GUCAGCAAAGAAAAGAGGUUUGCGGUGUUUGCACAUCGGCACUGAUUUUUUUCAAAAUCAAACAGAUAUAAUACAGAAGGAUGUUUAGUGAGCGUAAUCGUUCAGAAAUACCGGUGUUCGUUUCUCGCGUGUCGGUCGCUUGGAUGUGUUCGGACUUGUUUCAGUGUUUUGAUUACCUCUGCUAGGAGAACUAGUGGAUGUUGAUGAUUCGCGCCACGGUCUGACUUUUUUUGUUUGGGAUGCAUGUCGCUUGGAUAUUUUUCCACGAUUAUCAGUGAGGACGAGGCUGCCGUUAUGUUCCUUUAAUACUGUGUGUCUUGUCGGAGAGAAACGCGGAUCUCCUUUCAAACGAUUCUGCUUGACAACGACAACUUCAUCUCCCGGUUUAAUUCUACAGUGUCGGGCACCCCGUCGCGCGUCUUCGCGUUUUUUUCCAGCCAAUUUGGCCUCGCGAUCUCUCUUCUCCAAGAGGGCUUCAUCGAAAUCUGAUUCGCGGUGUUGAAGCAAGGGUAAUCCUCUUUUGAUUUUCCGUCCGUACAUCACCUCUUCUGGUGGAACUUUUGUAAUACUGUGUGCAGCCGCAUUAUGGGCGUUCACCGCUUUUCUUAGUUCUUCAACGUAGUUUGUUUUCUCUGCGAUAGCCACUGCCAUAGCUUUGUUGAUUAGCUUCAUGUAGCUUUCAGCCAAACCAUUUUGCUGGGGAAAUAGAGGUGUCGAGUAAACUAUUGUGAUAUCCCGUUGUUUGCAAUAAUCCGCAAAAUCUUGCCCAUUGAAUGGUGGACCAUUAUCCGUUUUAAUGACUUUUGGGAACCCUUCUCUUUCAAAUAUGUCAUUGAGUAUAUUUUUGGUGCAUUCAAAACUAGUUGUUUUAACCGGUUUAGCUAUGACGUAUCUUGAUUUAUAGUCGACCACAACCAGGAUAAGUAUACCGCCAAACUUUAUAUAGGGGCCGUUGAAAUCUAAUGCCACAGUAUCCCAAGCUGUCUUUGGGAUGAAUAUUCGUUCCAUAGGUGUUGUCCUCUCCGGUUUGCCGUUGACACAACAAAUUUUGCAUGAUUCCACCCAAUUAGUUAUGUCUUUUGGCAUUCCUGGCCACCACACACGUUGUCGCAUGAUACUCUUCAUUUUUGCUGUUGAUGGGUGACCUUCGUGUGCUACCUCCAAAGCUCGCGUUUGGAGAGCAUUUGGGAUUACCGCACAUCCGGUUUUGGUGAGUAUACCAUUUCGAGCCGACAGAUUCUUCUCAACGGUACGAUACCUUUGCAAAUCAUGUGCCCAAACUCCAGUUUUCAACGCGUUCAGCACUUUUUGCAGCAUCUCAUCUUGGUCUGUAGCACCUUUAAUGUCUGCUUCCGUUAGAAUAUUUAUCAAGUUUGCUUCGAGAGUUGCUAGUUCCCAUGGGCUGUUUUCUUCGUCGAACGCUGUGUCAUCCCCAUUGUAAAGCCUAGAUGAUGGAUCGGCAAUAUUGUCCGUACCACGGAUAUACUCGAUGUCGUAUCGAUAAGGGCUUAAUCUAAGUGCCCAACCAUCGGCACGAGUCAUUGCACGCUUCGAGUCUUCCCUCGUUCUGUUGAGUAUAAAGGCAACACCUUGCGCGUCAGUACGGAGCGUGAAAUGUCUGCCAAGUAGAAAGUAAGAGAAGUGCUCCACUGCCCAGACUGCCCCCAAUGCUUCUCGCUGGUUUUGAGCAUAACGCUUUUCUGUAUGUGUCAGCGACUUAGAGGCGAAACUAAUGAUACGUGGCGCUUGAUUCGUCUGUUCUUGCACGAGAACAGCGCCCAAUGCAACGGGGGAGGCGUCCGUGUAGAGAACAGUUUUGUCGUCCUCUGAGAAAAAUCCUAGCGAUAUCGUGCAAUCAAUAAUAUUCUGCUUAAUUACGUUGAAUGCGUGCCUUUGUUCGUUACCCCAUGACCAUGUUUUAGAGGUUGUAAUGCUCCAUAAUGGACUAGAUAUAUCAGCCAAAUUUUUUAAAUAUGGACUGAGGAAUGAUGCCAAUCCCAGGAAACUCCGAAGCUCUGACAGUGUUGUCGGCUCUCUGAAAUUUUGUACAGAUCGUAUCUUCUCCUUAUCGAUGUGAAAACCAUUCUCAUCAAGUUCGUGACCUAUAAAUUGUAUCUUGGUCUUGUCGAACUCGCACUUGGCCGUAUUCAAGGUCAGGUUAUUUGCUCUCAAAAUUUGUAGUACAUUUGCAACUUCUGUGUGUAGCCCAUCCAAAGUGUCCGAGAAGAUGAGAAAAUCAUCGAUGUAUAUGAUUAUGUUCUUACUUGCAUCUUUUAGGAUUCUCGUCAUUUCGCGCUGGAAUAUUUCUGGGGCACAAUUUACACCAAACAUGAGUCUGGUAAAUCUAUACAUGCCGUUUUCCGUCAAAAAGGUAGUCAAGUCUCGGGAUUCAUCGGACAAUUCUAAGUGGUAAAACGCAUUUUUCAAAUCAAGCUUUGUAAAAUAUUUUGCCCCAUGAAGUUUGACUUUCAUCUCUUCAAGUAAUGGCAACCUGAAAUAUUCGCGGUUGAUCACUUUGUUAGGUGCACGCAUAUUUACCACGAGGCGGAAAUCGUUCUUCCCCUUCGCCACCGCGGACAUGCCGCUGAUCCAACCAGGAGCGGAUGUAACCUUUUCUAUGAUUCCUUGAGUCUCCAUUUCAUGUAGCCUCAGUUGUGCUGCUGCUCUGUAGGCUGCUGGUAUAUUAUAGUAUGCGGUUUUAGUAGGUGGUACUGAUUUAUCGAUGCUGAAUUUGACUUUUACUUUUGGUAUUUUUGGGAAUAUAAAAUUAUUAUGCAAUGACGUACAUUGAUUGACUGCGCCCCCGACAUGUAAUAGUCCAAUGUCGCUUGAUGUAGAACGCCCCAGCAAUGACCGCGUACCUUUCGGAAUGACAAAGAAAACAGCUGGUAUACCUGGCCUAGCCGAUGCUGCAGCAACGAUAACGCCUUUGACAGAACACUCGAUGAACAUCGGCUCUUGAGUCCUAUAUGCAUGCAACUUAUUAGUAGGUGCUUCCAAUAUUUCUAAAUUUGCUUUCCCUGUCUGGGAUUCUCGUUUCAGCUGAGUCCAAUCGGUUCCUCCUAUAACAUUUACGUCUGCGCCUGAAUCAAUUAGGAAUCGGAUAGGUGAAGAUGAUCCAAUGGAACAAGGGAUUACAACAUCUUCGAGUGAAAGGGCGUUGAGCAUCUGAAUUGAGUGGAAAUAUAACAAGAAAUAUAACAAGAAAUAUAA